GUGGGGAAUCUUCCGCAAUGGACGAAAGUCUGACGGAGCAACACCGCGUGCUGGAUGAAGGCCUUCGGGUCGUAAACAGCUUUUGUAUACGAAGAAUAUGACGGUAAUAUACGAAUAAGGGUCGGCUAACUACGUGCCAGCAGCCGCGGUCAUACGUAGGACCCAAGCGUUAUCCGGAGUGACUGGGCGUAAAGAGUUGCGUAGGCGGCUUAUUAAGCGAGUAGUGAAAUCUGGUGGCUCAACCAUCAACACAUUGCUCGAACUGAUAGGCUUGAGAAUGGUAGAGGUAGUUGGAAUUUCUUGUGUAGGAGUGAAAUCCGUAGAUAUAAGAAGGAACACCAAUGGCGUAGGCAGACUACUGGACCAUUUCUGACGCUGAGGCACGAAAGCGUGGGGAGCGAACCGGAUUAGAAACCCGUGUAGUCC
rnacentral:rRNA from 1 species